UUUAGAAAGAGUGUUAUCGUAAAUAACGAAAAAAAUUAUACCUAUAUGCCAUAGUUAAAAGGCAUAAAAAAACAAGAAUUAUAUUGACAUGUCAAUUCAAGUUUUCUUUGAAGAUAUAGCAAAUGAGGUGCAAGUCUGAAAAACCAAUUGGAAGGGCGAUUACGUAGAAGGAUUGCCGCCUUCUAUCCGAAAAACAGUCCGUCCUGAGGGGUACUUCGGUACCUACGUACAAUCAGGAAUUAGUAUAAUAUUUUAAUACAUAGUAAUAAUAAUAAUACUUAUAUUAACUCGCAAGAAGUGCACCUCCUUUGCUAAAUUUUCUCGGUUUUCAUUAUGUAUGGAAACUUAAGAAUAUUUUGAAAUAGUAAUACAGAAGUCUAUUGUUGAAUCUAUGGGGAGGUGGUAAAUAAGGUUAUAAUACCUUGAGGCUUGUGGAAACUUCUUAUUAACAAUAGAAAAAUUUGCAUUAUAUGCCGUUUUCCCUUCCCUCGAGCAGAAGUUUUCAUAAAAAUACCACAUUUACCCCUAAGAUUCAAUUUUCAGCUGCGUAAAAAAAGAGAUUCGAAAGAAAACAUGUCAAUAAUUAAACGAAAACGCCUUAAUGUGGCCUUCAAAGAUGUGAAUAAGUUGAUUGUCAAUUUAGUGAUAAUCUUUUAUAAGAACCUGCCCCAGAAGUUACUUGUGAUUUCUGAUUCACAUCUUUUUCAAGUCUCACGGAGGGGAAGUAAUUCGGCAUCUAAAGCAAAUUUUUCUAUUGUUAAUAAAGUUUCCAGGAGGAAUAAAACCUCUUCCUCGCCUGGCUCUGCCGGUGCUCUUUUAAGAGGCAGGUUCAAUUUCACUUCAUAAAACAAUUCUCAAUAGUUAAUGCAAAAUUCAAUAUCUACUGAAUGGAAGAUGUAAGAAAUCAUGUAAACAGAUACUAUCACACAAAGGGAAUAGGAAUAAUAAGGAAUUGGAGGAAUAAUGAUCUUCAGCUGGCAGUUUCAUCAUCAAGAACAGUUGCAUACUUGAAUCUACCUGAUAUAAGAAGCGAUUGAAUAUGACAUUGUUGACAAGGAUCAAGGAUUUAAAGAGGGUAUAUGUAUUCAACCUAGCCAUCAAAAAAUUCGGAAUCAAGAGAUAGUUUAAUGGAUUGUACCAUGUGCUGACAGUUGUGCAGAAAAACUUGAGAGAUUUUCAUAAUUUUGAAGACUGUAUUCUUGGCAUAAUGGCAUCUACAAAAUAAUUCCCAGCCUUAGAGGAAAAUUACAUCACAGGCAUCAUGCAGGAAUAGAUUUAU